UGUGAUUAUGAAGAAAUAAAUAUGCAGGUUUUUUGUGUUGUGAUUGGAAACACCAAAGAAUAUGUUAGAAUUCAAAUUUCAAGUUAAAAGUCAAAUAGAUAUGAACAUGCAAUGUUUGGAUUUAAUUGCAAUUUUGGUGCUAGUCAUUUUUAGUAGACCAAUUUACAAGACUUAAGUUGCACACAGUUAUACCUAAAUGGUUAACUGAACGCUGUACACAAUGUUUUCGUGUUUCAUUUUGAUUAAGAAGAAGAAGAAGAAGCUAGAGAAGAAGCAUCAGCUAAAUAAGAAGAAGAAAGUAAAAGGGGAAAGAAUUUGUGUUUAAGUUUGAGGUGCUUCCAAAGAGCAAGAAGAUGAAGAAGGAAUUAUUGUCCAUUAAACAUUUCUUCAUAUUCACACUAGUUUGGCAUUUAUUUAUGUUGUGUGUAUUCUUAUACUGCAAAGUGGUAGCAGAAGAAGAUGAAGCAAAGAAGUAUGUUAGAGCAUCGUCAAAAUUCGUAUACCAAGAGAGUUUGACAGUUGUACUAAUUUUAUUCAUGAUUAUUGCUUGAAAAUUGUAAGAUGUAUUUAACAAGUUUGGAUUGAUUUUGUUGUUGUAUUUUAUUGAACAAGCUCCUAUGUUUUGUUGUUAA